GACGAACGCUGGCGGCGUGCCUAAUACAUGCAAGUAGAACGCUGAAGCGAGGAGCUUGCUCUUCUUGGCUGAGUUGCGAAAGGGGGAGUAACGCGUAGGUAACCUGCCUUGUAGCGGGGGGUAACUAUUUGAAACGAUAGCUAAAACCGCAUAACACUGGAUUACACAUGUCAUUUAUUUGAAAGGGGCAAUUGCUCCACUACAAGAUGGACCUGCGUUGUAUUAGCUAGUAGGUGAGGUAAUGGCUCACCUAGGCGACGAUACAUAGACGACCUGAGAGGGUGAUCGGCCACCAUGGGACGGAGACACGGCCCAGACUCCUACGGGAGGCAGCAGUAGGGAAUCUUCGGCAAUGGGGGCAAACCUGACCGAGCAACGCCGCGUGAGUGAAGAAGGUUGUCGGAUCGUAAAGCUCUGUUGUAAGUCAAGAACGGGUGUGAGAGUGGAAAGUUCACACUGUGACGGUAGCUUACCAGAAAGGGACGGCUAACUACGUG
rnacentral:rRNA from 1 species